rnacentral:rRNA from 1 species
CAGUAAGGGCGACUGAAGCGGGAAGAGCUCAGCUUGUGAAUCUGUACAGACUUGUCUGUGCCGAAUUGUAGUCUAAAGAAGCAACGUAUGUAAUUAUUUCAGACCAAGUCCUCUGGAAAGAGGCGGCUGAGAAGGUGAGACCCCUGUUCUUGUCUGAAAUAAAUGCAAUAUUCUUGCAUUCAAUGAGUCGAGUUGUUUGGGAUUGCAGCUCAAAGUGGGUGGUAAAUUCCAUCUAAAGCUAAAUAUUGGUAGGAGACCGAUAGCGAACAAGUACCGUGAGGGAAAGAUGAAAAGAACUUUGAAAAGAGAGUUAAAGAGUACCUGAAAUUGCUGAAAUGGAAGCAAAGGAAACCAGUGUUAUCUUGGCUCAUUCUUCCUAUGCUGCUUGCAACAUGGGCGCUGUGAUCUUUGAUAGGCCAACCUGGGCUUAAUUCGAGGUAAUCAACCUUGGAUUGGACUUACGUUGGCGAAAUGGUUUUCUUUACCCCGUCUUGAAACACGGACCAAGGAGUCUAACAUAUGUGCGAGUAUAGGAGUGACAAACUCCCAUGCGUAAUGAAAGUAACAGUGGUAUUCAAUAUCCGCCGGCCACAAUUCUUCGGAAGAAAGGUCUGAGUGUGAGCAUACAUGUUGGGACCCGAAAGAUGGUGAACUAUGCCUGAAUAGGGUGAAGCCAGGGGAAACUCUGGUGGAGGCUCGUAUGCGGUUCUGACGUGCAAAUCGAUCGUCAAAUUUGGGUAUAGGGGCGAAAGACUAAUCGAACCAUCUAGUAGCUGGUUCCCUCCGAAAUUUCCCUCAGGAUAGCUGCAAUCAAAGUAUCUUUAUCAGGUAAAGCGAAUGGUUAGAGGACUUGGGUGCGUAAUGCACUCAGCCUAUUCUCAAACUUUAAAUGGGUAAGAAGUCGGAGUUGCUUAAUUGAACUCUGUGCUUGAGUACUGGUUGUUAGUGGGCCACACCGGGUAAGCAGA